GCAAAAUUGAUCUUGAUUCACUGGUUUGGUUGCUUGCAGGUUGGACUUAGCUCACAGUUUUGCUAGGUGCCACGGUAGCUUGCGGCGUGGGUGCUGCUAUGUGCGAAAGAACAACAUCCUGCAUGCUUCCGUCUGGGGUGAUAUCCAAUUUUGAAAUUUGAAUAUCUCCUAUUGACAAAACUGUGGAGUAUGUGAACUUAACGGACCAACGACAUAAUUGAUUGGUGUUUACUGCCAGUUGGUCGUGAUUAUGUCGCUAAGUCCAGAAGCAUCGGCUUUUCCUUCAUCAUCUGCUAGCAUGUCAAUUUAUCCAACCUGUUUACCAUCAUCUUUACUACAUGACACGAACUUAGUGCAUUCUGCAAUUCUUGUGGCGAUGUUUGCAACAAAAUUUCCAUACGGACUUGGGGUGGCAUGCCGUCAAACUGCUAAGGAUUCGAAACAAACUGCCUGUAGCACUUGUCCAUAAUAAUUUCUUUGUAUUUAAAGUCCCAAGAUACAUGGUGAUAACCUCUUGACAGGAUUUCCAAAAUUAACCGUUUGUAAGCUUUUUUUCAUAUUUGCUUUGCGGACAGUGGGUUUUAUUCAUGUACGCACACCAUCAUUGUCUUUAUUUGCCCAAUGAUUUGUCUUCCAAUUGCUUGCUUGGGAACCGACUUGGCAUGAACACGUCAUGAAUGAGUUUAAUACCAAGUCACAU